CGGGGGCGGGGGACGCAACCCGGGAGCGUCCGGCAGGUGACUGACUGAGCCACAGUCGAGUGCGCGUGCCAGGCCCCGUCCCGUGCGUCGGCCGAGGCGGAAGAGCCGAGCGGAGGCCCCGCCUGACCCGCGAGACAGGUCGAAGCCGGUACCGGAGCGGAGGCGCGUGGAGCCGGCAGGAGCGCGGGAGCCAUGGUCCUCAACGGUCGAGCCCGAGGGAGCAGCACAGCAGCCGAGAAGCAACCGCCGCCCCCGCGGAGACGCCGCAGCACCGCGGAGUCAGGUAUGCAACACGGGACAAGAUGGUGGAGUGCCAGCCGGAAACGCAUAACCACAAGAUGGUGACCUUCAAGUUUGACUUGGAUGGGGACGCUCCUGAUGAGAUCGCCACAUACAUGAGGAAAAGGCAAAACCUGAGAUGACCUGGAGGAGCAAAGGGAAGCUGCAUCACCAGCCUCUCGUGCCCUGUGUCCCUGCGUAGAACUUCUGUCACCCUCCUCGACUUCCAGAAGGGCCAUUUGAAGCCCACGCUCCAACCAUCAACCUCAGCUCUGCCUCCACCUGGAGCCACCCUUACCUGCUGGAGCAGAGCUCACUGUGGGCACCUGCUCACUCAUGGGUUUUUCUGUGUCCCAGGUCAGUGCUGCCAAGGAAUCCUGCUGUGUCCCCAGCAUGUGGCCCUGCCAGAAGUGGGGGACCAAACACAGACGUAGUACAGAUGCUCAUGUUUGAGUCAGGCAGGAGGGGCAGGAGUAGAAGGCUUCCAUGCACACAGGGCUUCCCUCCUGCCCACCACUCUCCCCACGGGUGGCCAUGUCCCGCCCCCUCGACCUCUGCUCUUCCAGGAACUUCCUCCCAUGCCCCACCACCUACUUAUUCCUGCCCCACUCAACACACGCUUCCCUUUCUCCUCAGUGUCCUCAGGGAAGUCUGUCUCCUCUGUGCCGGACAGCUUUAGUGUCAACUGGACACGCCUCGGUUGAGGGAGCCUCAAUUGGGGAAUUGCCUCCAUUGGACUGCCCUAUGGCCACUUCUGUGGGGAACCUUCUUGAUGGUUGAGUGAUGUGGGAGGGCCCAGCCCACUGUGGGUGGUGCCAUCUCUGGGCAUGUGGGCCCAUGUUGUAUAAGAAAGCAGGCUGAGCAGGGGCCAGGGGAGCAAGCCAGUAAGCGUGCUGGGAGACUGGUCCUCUUAAGGAUGUGCACGUCUCAAAUUUCAAAUCCCCAAAUCGGUUCCGUCAGCAUUUUGAACAUGGAGGAAAUAAGAGGCAGAAGCACAUCUGGUGGCCCCGCCUACUGGGGUUCCUGUGGGACUCCAACUUCCUUUUACUGUAGCCGCUUACCUUGGGGUCAUGCUGCGUUCCCUUGGGGUGAGGAGGCAACAGCAAAAUGUUCUAAAGACCUGAAGGAAACAAGGAAACGCCUCCUCACCCCCUUCCACACUCUUCUCCGUCUAGAUGUGGAGACUAUGGUGGCGGGGGAGGGGGGGUGCUGGGCCCUGCUGUUUUCAUCAGGUGAUGGCUCCUCAAGGACCAGGGCCCUGCUGUUUUUGUCACGUGAUGGCUCCUCAAGGACCAGGGCCCUGCUGUUUUUGUCACGUGAUGGCUCUUCAAGGACCAGGGCACUGCUGUUUUUGUCAUGUGAUGGCUCCUCAAGGACCAGGGCCCUGCUGUUUUUGUUAUGUGAUGGCUCCUCAAGGACCAGGGCCCUGCUGUUUUUGUUAUGUGAUGGCUCCUCAAGGACCAGGGCCCUGCUGUUUUCCUCAGGCAAUGGCUGCUCAAGGACCAGGGCCCUGCUGUUCUCAUCAGGUGAUGGUUCCUCAAGGACCAGGGCCCUGCUGUUCUCAUCAGGUGAUGGCGCCUCAAGGACCAGGGCCCUCCUGUUCUCAUCAGGUGAUGGCGCCUCAAGGACCAGGGCCCUCCUGUUUUCAUCAGGUGAUGGCGCCUCAAGGACCAGGGCCCUGCUGUUCUCGUCAGGUGAUGGCUGCUCAAGGACCAGGGCCCUGCUGUUC